UAAGUGGGGGAUAACGCAUCGAAAGAUGUGCUAAUACCGCGUAGUCUCUAAGGAGUAAAGCAGGGGAUCGAAAGACCUUGCGCUUAAGGAGCGGCCGAUGUCUGAUUAGCUAGUUGGUAGGGUAAAGGCCUACCAAGGCAACGAUCAGUAGUUGGUCUGAGAGGACGACCAACCACACUGGGACUGAGACACGGCCCAGACUCCUACGGGAGGCAGCAGUGGGGAAUUUUGGACAAUGGGCGCAAGCCUGAUCCAGCCAUGCCGCGUGAGUGGAGAAGGCCUUCGGGUUGUAAAGCUCUUUCAGUUGGGAAGAAACGAUUGCAACUAAUAAUUGUAAUUAAUGACGGUACCGACAGAAGAAGCACCGGCUAACUACGUGCCAGCAGCCGCGGUAAUACGUAGGGUGCGAGCGUUAAUCGGAAUUACUGGGCGUAAAGGGUGCGCAGGCGGUUUUGUAAGUCAGAUGUGAAAUCCCCGGGCUUAACCUGGGAAUGGCGUUUGAAACUGCAAGGCUAGAGUGUAGCAGAGGGGAGUGGAAUUCCGCGU
rnacentral:rRNA from 1 species